rnacentral:rRNA from 1 species
GACGAACGCUGGCGGCGUGCCUAAUACAUGCAAGUAGAACGCUGAAGAGAGGAGCUUGCUCUUCUUGGAUGAGUUGCGAACGGGUGAGUAACGCGUAGGUAACCUGCCUUGUAGCGGGGGAUAACUAUUGGAAACGAUAGCUAAUACCGCAUAACAAUGGAUGACACAUGUCAUUUAUUUGAAAGGGGCAAUUGCUCCACUACAAGAUGGACCUGCGUUGUAUUAGCUAGUAGGUGAGGUAAUGGCUCACCUAGGCGACGAUACAUAGCCGACCUGAGAGGGUGAUCGGCCACACUGGGACUGAGACACGGCCCAGACUCCUACGGGAGGCAGCAGUAGGGAAUCUGCGGCAAUGGGGGCAACCCUGACCGAGCAACGCCGCGUGAGUGAAGAAGGUUUUCGGAUCGUAAAGCUCUGUUGUAAGUCAAGAACGGGUGUGAGAGUGGAAAGUUCACACUGUGACGGUAGCGUACCAGAAAGGGACGGCUAACUACGU